ensembl:lncRNA
UUUUUUUUUUUUUCCUGAAAGAUAAUUGAGUCACCUUCUGGUAAACAGGAGAUAUGUUUGGAAUUGAAUACACCUUUUAUAUUCUGAAGUUUAUUGUACAGCUAGGGCUUUUUAUUUAGUUAGAGAAGUUGAACUGAGACAGAGACACUAAAAUAAUUGUCAUUCUUGAAAAUAAUAAAAAAACGCUUUCUAUUGUUUUGUUUUGAGUCAUUUGAGAUUCUCAAAAUGCUCAUUAAGUUUAUUAAUGUCUGCUCUGGUAUGAAUAUAUGUGUAUCCCUGUCUUGCAUUUGCCAGCAAUCCUGAAAUGGAAUUAAUAUAUUGUCCUCAUGCAUACUUCAGAUUUAUGCAAAGAAUGCUACCAAGUAUUCCCAUCACUUAGGGAUGAAAGGUAAGAUACAUUAGUUCCUUGCUAAGCCAUGAGGACACUAAGCACAAGAAAGGAUUUGUAAAUAUGCUGAGACUUAUUUGAGCCCUAAUUGAGUUAAAUAAAAUGGAAGCAUCCAUGAGGUCAAAGCUGUGCAUCCCACUGGUGAAUUAAUGGCACAUGAGCAGCAGGGAACUAGCAACACAAGAAACUCUAUGGAAAACAUGGAGAUGCCCAGAGUUGCAGCUUCCUUACUGUGACAGAGCCAAGACUUCUUUAAAGCAAUGGCCUCUUGUGACCAUUCUCCUUCACAAGGCAACUUAAUCACACAGUUAAUUUAUUUGUUUUAUUCCAUUCUCAUCUCUAAUAAGUUUACACAAACCUUUGACUUCUGUCCCACUGUACAGGUCAGGGGCAUCAGGUACUUUAUGUGUGCAAACAUCAUGUCUGGUAUCUGCCUAUUAAAUGCCUGCCUUACCAUCAUUUGUCCUGAUUAAUUCCAUGAUGAGAAGUGAGAUGCCUGUUAAAUCCUGCCUUUACUGGAACGCUUAGACCUCUGUGCAUAGGCAAGUAAUAAAUGGAGGAUUAUUUUGUACCCAGGCUGUAAGCAUGAUUGCUCUGGCAAUCACAGUUUUUGUAUGAGUGAAUGUGCUCAGGAGCAGAUGUGUAAAUGAAGCUCUGGGCAAGAAGUUUAAAAAUUUGUCACUUAGCAAAAAGUGCAAAGUUAUAGCAAAGUAAAUUUGGAGAUCAUUUUCCUUCUGUAUUUAUAUAUUUUUUUAUUGGAUAGUUGAAGCAACAUUGGUAAUAGACUUAUAAUGAAAUCUAAGUUAUGAUUCUUACCUGUGUUCUUUUUUACUUAUUCAUAUGUUGGUUUGAAUAUUAUAGAACUCAGGAGGUCUCCUCUGAGAUAACUUUAGAGUUAUACUGUUCUUGGUCAAAUUAUCUGUCCUGAAACAUCUGAUAAAUUUUCAUGGCUAUCAGAUUAUUUUUCUCCUGGCUAGCUGCGCCUGAUACUAUAAUCAUACCACUGGGGGUAGUUAUCAAAUAGGCUUUGGUAUUGAUAGCUGAAUACUUUCUAAAUCUCACUGACUAGCUCAGCAUUUUAAUGAAAUAUCUAAUGCCUAUGAAGUCUUUCCUACAAAGAGCUUUUUCUGUCCUACUGGGAUGUCUUUGAAACAGAGCAAGUUCUCUAAAACCUAUGUGAUUUGCAAACUUUUCCCUCUUUUCUGCAAUUCUUCCUGAGGAUUCCAUGUCCAUUUUUUAAAUUACAUCAUUCUCUGUCUGAUAUUUACCACUGUGACUUCAGUUUAACACCAAUAACAUCAUGAAAAUAAUCAUGGUUUGCAAAAGAUGGGUAGCUCUGACCACAUGUAUGUGUCUGGUGCUGCGCUGCUGACAGUCCUGCCUCUCCUUCUGUCAUGUCAAGUCAAGUGCCUGGUCAAGUGCCCACAGUAUGCCCAGGACAUCAGACAACUGAUGUUUGCUAAUGUGCAACCAAACAAUGACCAGUCCUGUGGGAUGUGAUUCCCCUUUCCCCAGUCAUACGCCUUAGGUAAAUUCCAUGCACCCUCUAGGAAUGACAGUGUUAUGUCUCUCAAAAUAUCUCUGUGUAUUCAACCUCUCUCCCACGCUCCAACAAGACACUUCCUUAGAACAGAAGUUUUCAUUGCAAAGCAGCCAGAGUCCUUCUCACAUGGAAGAGCACAAGGCAUUUCAGUGGAGACAGGCUGGUUAACUAAGACUGGCUGCUUUUGGGAUGAGCUUCUUAGGUGCUGCAUGUUUUUCUAAGGUGACUCUGAGUUUUGGGAGGAAAUCAUAUACUACACAUUCCAUUAUUAACAAUGUUCUUUGGAUCAACUGUGUCAUAUCUAUCUGGAACACUCAGAGAAACUGAGGGAGACUUCUGAGUAAUUUGGCUCAGUUUCAGUGUGACAGAACCAAUAUGAUUACAGGGAAGAAUUCCGCCACCCUUCAGAAUGUUUGUUCCCUGUGAACUUUAGUUAAAUUUAUAGCUUGUCUUAGACACAUAGCUGUGAACAAGAUAGCUGCUUUCGGACUAGAUACAGACAGAAAAAAAAAUUCUUCUCAAAAAAAUAAUUGCUGCUAUGCAUCAUCUGUACCUCACCUCAUGUGUGGUCUGCUCCAAGUGUUCUCCUUGGGGUAGCUGUGGAAAAUACAAUUUGAGUCUUCCAGAACGUGAUAACAUAAAAAAGUAUCAUGACACAACUUGGUGCUGCGUACCAUAAUUUUUGGCCAAGGGUAGAAUUUCUACUUGAACUUCUGGAUAGAAGAAGGAAGGAUUUUUUUUUUUACUUAAAUUUGUCUCUCUUCUCAUUCAGCUCCAGCUCCUGAAACAGUCUCAUUCCACUCAGGCUGGAGCUCUCCAAGAGGAAUGCCCUCAUUUCUGGGGGAGAAGAAGAGAAAUUCUGGCCAGGGUAUGGGGAAGCAGGGUGCUCUAGGCAUCAUGCCUCCACUGCUGGAUCAUCAUCCCUGCAUGAGCAGGGCAGAAAUACAGCUCAGCCAGGCAAAGUGGUGCAAGGCCUAGGACAAGGAAUGCUGCCACUUCAUGGGAUUUUGGUAUCAAGAAGUUUCAUAUGCACUUGAAAUCACAAUGCUCCUAGAGCAUCAUUGCACCCAGAGCAUUUUAAACUGCAUUGUACAGGUGCUCAGGGGGCAGUGGGCUGGCCAGGGGUGUGACCACAUCCUGGCUGUGAUGCAGCCUGGCUGCCUCUCCCAGACCCUUGCCCAAGGUCUCUGACAGCACCAUGGCUUGGUGAAGCUUCCCACAGGCUUGAGUAGGCUUCCCAUCAAGUACCCAGAGUAGAUGUGGCCUGGGAAGAGGCUGUCCCCUGACUGAUUAGAGAGUGACUGUCCUCUGGUGAUAACUAGAAAGAUUUGAGAAGUGUGAAAGAAUAAUUUAUUUUGCUAUAUUUUUGGCAUAUGUUCUGGCACCUUAAUAACUGAUACCUUUUACCAUUCUCUUGUCUACUUUUACUAAUUUGGAUUUUUUUAAUGUAAUGGUAAGUACACUAACCUUUAGUUUAAAAUGUUGCUUCCUUUUGAAAUGAAGAUCUUAUAUAAAUUAUCAAAUUAAAUCCAAAAUAUUCUUCAGGCAGUUCAGUAUUUACUUAUUUUUUUAAAUUAUUCUAGCUAGAGGCAUGCUAUUGGAUUUAUAGGUGUUUGGGUAACUUAAUUUAAAAGAGCAAAACGGACUAAACUAGAUAAGAGAAACUUAGGCCAAAUUAUACUGGUUGUGACAUAUGUGAUACAUAAUGCUGUGUAAUUAGAUAUUAAAAUUGUUUCUGUACAGCAGGAUGUUUUAUAAAAACGGGACAAAUGUUUUUUAAAUGUACCACUGGAAACCAGACAGAUGGUAACCUAUAUCCCCAAGGAGGAUAGCUGAAUUCCACCAAGUUUUUUAUAUGAAUUUGAACUGUAGUGAACAGGAAAGGAGGGAAUUUGUGAUUAUAGUCUAGUUUGCUAUUAGUCAAUGUUUGGCUGAAUGUGCAAAGGAUACUUAUAUGGUGCUUAGUCUGGACAGUAAUAUUUUCUGGGGAUUUGUUCGUUCUUGAGCAAUAGCAGAGCAGAUGGUGACAAAGCAGAUCUAGCAAUAAAUCACGGAGACAGGGUACUUGAAGGAAGUAAGAUGAUCUAGAGGAACAGAAUAGAAACUGAGGGAUAAUUUUAACACAAAUGCACAGUGUAUUCCCAGUAAUUUUAUUAAUGCUGGGGACAGUACUUAAAGACUGAGCAUUUUCAUGUAGCUUGGCUGUUAAAACCCCUAUUAAAAAUUUUAAUCAACAUCCUUUGGGAGCAAAACUUUUCAGGGUGCAUACAAAAAAAAGAUCUCUGCUAUGUACCGAAACUCCUGGUGACCACAUAAUUUAUAAAUGCCUGACAAUCAUAAACUGCAAGAUGCCUUUUGAGACUCACUGUGUUUGUGGCUACAUGGACUUAGCUCUGAAACCCUGACAGCCUUCAGGACAGCCUGAUACACAUAAUAGUAAAGGGAAAGAUGUCUACAAAUACAAGAAAAAGCAAUCCCAGGAAGCAACAUGUCAGUGGAAAAAUUUUAGCCCACUAGCAGCUGGAGGGUAGUGCUCUCUCUGCUCCCUACUUGGGAGGCAGCACAAAGCCACAUCUCUGACAGAAACUGACACUUCUUUGUCAGCCAGACUGCAGUGUGACCCUGGGAAUGGUGCUUCCUCAUAAUUCCCUGCCGUUUGCUCUCUUGCUGUCACACCAGCACCUGCAUCAGUGCUGACAGUGCCUGUCUCUGUCAGAUCUGCUCUCACACUAAAUAUUUCACUGGAGUGUUUAUAGUUCCAUUCCCCAGGUUGGAGGCUGCUAAUACUGAGGAGGCAAUGGUGAGCAGUUCAAGGCCCUGGAUAGCAAAGUGUCCCUUAGCCCCUUUUCUUGCACUAAAUCGAGGCAGAACCUUUGCUUACAAAACAUGCAGUAAGAUGAGGAAGUGCCAAUUCCCAGCUUGUCAAGUUCAGGCAAAGGAUUUCUGUUGCAUUUGGUACUUGGAUAAUCCAAAAGACAAAAUACCCAUUGAUUCAACCCACAGAUCUCCAUAUCAGAUCAAUCUUGGUGCCUUUCAGGAUGCACUAGGCACAGGCAGCAUCAUACAGCCCUGACAUGCAGUCAAGCCCAAUUUAACCUGUUAUUAUCAAGUGAUUAUCAAGUGGUUGAUACUCAUGCACCCCCUUGAACCACUUCACUUUAAAUUAGCAUUUUAAAAAGUAUCAUCUCAGUGACCCUCUGAAACAGUCCUACUACAAAUAAUGGCUGAGCAAGGUGUGUUUGUAUGCUGCACAAAGGAGUGCCACACAAAGGAGACUCCUUUUACUCCUUUUAGCAGAUGGAGGACUAGGAAAACUAAAGGCAGAGUUAUUGAGAAAGAAGAUUGGCAUUUUUGAUGAAAAAUGUAUCAUGAAAACAUCUUUCAACGGCUUGCAGAGACAAUAAUUUAAAAUAAAUAAUUAUAAAAAUUGAACUAUUAAACUCAGAUGGGCAGUUUUUUUAGUAUUGUAGAGUCUCCCUUUUCUUUUUCUGGUCACAUAUUAGAAUGACUUGUUGAAAUGUGAAAACAGGUAGAAAAGUUAAACAAGCCAUUAAUGUAAAGAGCUAAAAGCAUAGUAUUUGGUUUUUCAGUAGCUUGUUCCCAGGUUUGAACAAAGAGAGUAACAAAGUUUAUGUCCCCUGUCUUCACAUAUUCUUGCAUAGUGGCUGGAAUUCAGCAUUGCAUCAUAGAUUUUCAAGAAGAAGCAGCCUGAUUUCCCAUGUACCCAUAUAUAUCAAACUCUGUAUCAUCAAGGCCUGCAUGCUGAAAUCCAUUUGGGAUGUGGCUGCUGAUUUGCCCAUUUCUGAUUAUUAUCAGGACAUUUGUAUAUUAGCUAGAUACUGCAGAAGUAUCAUUCUUUGAAUACGAGACAAUGUGCAAGGAGGCAGAACUUCUGCUAAGUGAUACAAACAAAAUUAAUUUGAUUGAAAAUUAUGCAGUGCAGACACAUAAGUAGCUAGAAAAUCAGCUGAUUUCAGCAUGGUUGCUGUGUUGGCUUUCCUUGUCCAUUAUCAUCUCCCCCAGCUUUGUUUACCUCUCCCCUCGGUCUGAGGUAACACCUGGGCAAGAGUACUGCCUAUAUUUUACCUCAGGUUCCCCCUGUGGUGCCUUAACUUACAGUCCAAGCUCCAGGUAUCCACAGAGGCUUAUUCAGGGGAGGGGUUUUGGUGGUCACAGAUUCUGUCUGUCCCAUAACUUGAGCUGAUCUUUGUUUCACCAGUGAUAUAUCUAGGAGCAGUUGCUUCUUUAUAUAGUCUGCCAAAGAAGGAAUUUUAGUCAGCAUGCAUGACCCAGGAUGAUCUCCCUUCUUUUCUCCUACUUCCUAUCAAAGAAAGGAUGAGAAGAUAAUGUGAAACAGAAUUUACUUAUGUAUCUUCAAUUGUAAAAAAUGGAAUAAGGAGGCUGAAGUUCUUGCAUCUGAAAUCUUGUACACUGGUUAUCCUUUAAUGCUGUAAAAAGUCAGGGUCAUACUAACACCUUUGAUUCUCUAGAGCAAUUAAUUCUGUCAAAACCAAUGCAGCCAGACCUAUUAAAUCUUUACAAUAGCCAAAAAAAAAAAAAAAAAAAAAA